GCUCGAAUAGCUCAACUGGUAGAGCAUGGCACUGAAGAUGCUAUUGUAUAAGUUCAAGUCUUUUUUCGAGCA